GUGGCGACCGGCGCACGGGUGAGUAACGCGUAUGCAACCCAUCUAUCGGAGGGGAAUAACCCGGCGAAAGUCGGACUAAUACUGCAUAAAACAGGGACACCGCAUGGUGAUAUUUGUUAAAGAAAUUCGCUGAUAGAUGGGCAUGCGUUCCAUUAGGUAGUUGGUGAGGUAACGGCUCACCAAGCCGACGAUGGAUAGGGGAACUGAGAGGUUGGUCCCCCACACUGGUACUGAGACACGGACCAGACUCCUACGGGAGGCAGCAGUGAGGAAUAUUGGUCAAUGGGCGAGAGCCUGAACCAGCCAAGUCGCGUGAAGGAAGAAGGAUCUAUGGUUCGUAAACUUCUUUUGCAGGGGAAUAAAGUGCGGGACGUGUCCUGUUUUGUAUGUACCCUGAGAAUAAGGAUCGGCUAACUCCGUGCCAGCAGCCGCGGUAAUACGGAGGAUCCGAGCGUUAUCCGGAUUUAUUGGGUUUAAAGGGUGCGUAGGUGGUUUUAUAAGUCAGCGGUGAAAGUUUGCAGCUUAACUGUAAAAAUGCCGUUGAAACUGUAAGACUUGAGUGUAAAUGAGGUAGGCGGAAUGCGUGGUGUAGCGGUGAAAUGCAUAGAUAUCACGAAGAACUCCGAUUG
rnacentral:rRNA from 1 species